ACGGCCGUGCCAUGCAGAAUAUACCGGUUCUCGUUAGAUCACCGAAGUCAAGCAUCAUUGGACGCGAGCAUCCGAGAACGGUCAGUACUUGGGUGGGUGACCACCUGGGAACACCGCGUGCCGUAG